rnacentral:lncRNA from 1 species
AAACCACGAAGAAGACGAAAACGAAAGUAAUGUUAAGCUGCAGAAGUAAACAAAGAAGCUACUAUUGCAAAUGAAGAUGUCAGAAUGACCAAAGGAGACAGAUCAAAUCGCUUCAAAAGUCAAACACGCAGCAGUUUAAUGGCACGGAAUAUUUUACCAGACACUGGACUUUUGUUUGGAUUCUUGCGACGUGACAAACAACUAUCGUAAAAGACAAAAAAAGUGCUUCAGAUACUUCUCAGUUCUCUUUUUAGUGCACAAGACUGUCAAACUGAACGACUGAGACUGAUUUUUACAAACCAGUGUUGAGCUGUUCAGCUGCAGUAUGACAGAGGAGCGAGGAAAGGACUCUCCGUCUGAGAUGAGUCUCUCACAGACACAGAGUGUAAGAUCAGGUUCACAUGUGUCCAGCUCUGUGUCUGUGAAGAGUGACCGUUCAAAAGGUGACAUGCCGAACCUCAGUGAGAAAAAACCAUCAUCUACCAAAAGUGUAAGAUCAGGUUCACAUGUGUCCAGCUUUGUGUCUGUGAAGAGUGAGCGUUCAAAAGGGGACAUGCCAAACUUCAGUGAGAAAAAACCAUCAACUACAAAAAGGUAUUUCAUGUGCUGUACAUUAUAGCGUUGCAUUGUUUCUCUGCUGUGUUUUUUGUGAGAGAACCAGACUGUAAGAAAUUAUAGUGUGCCUCGACCCAGC